UACUCAGCCCUGACCUUAUAAGGAAGGGGAUCACAGAGUCUCUGAGAGCCUUUAUCUAGUUCAGUGCUGGGGCCGAGACUCAAGCCUGUGGCUGGAGGAUCCACAGGACCACAAGGCCUUGCCAGGCUCCCUCUUGUCCACAGAGGUCUCUGACUUCCUCAGCAGUUCCUGCAGGACUGGCUGUGGUGGCUCCUGAGUCCUGCCCAGGACUGCUCUCCUCUCUUCAGAGCACCCCUCCUUUCUUGUUCCCCAUCCCAGUUCAGGAGGAGAACAGACUGAUGGCCUGGGAGGCCACAUACCUGCUCUCCCCAGUGAUGCUGCUGCUCCUGGCUUCAGGCUCCUGCGCACAGGACCCAGAGAUACUUCAAACAGUGGAGGGCAAGACUGUUUCUGUGACAUGCCGGUAUGAUCCCAGAUACAUCUCCCAUGAGAAGAUCUGGUGUAAGGAAAUAUUAGAAAACUUUUGUAAACUCCCAGUAUGGCAUGACAGUACAGGUGCCAAGAAGCUAAGAUUCUCCAUCCAGAGUUCUUUGUACAACUCCUUCACUGUCACCAUGACUGAGCUGAAGAUGAGUGACUCGGGCAUCUACCACUGUGGGAUCAUUGGAGAUCCUGGCAACGUCACUGCUCUCAACACUAUCUACCUAGUGGUGUCAAAAGGUUCUUCAGAUGUGUUCACUCCUGACAUCAUUCCUACUACAAGACUGCCUGAGCUUCCCAUCCUUAUUAUCACAAAACACUCGACCAGUGACACAACAACUACCCAGUUCCUAACCAAGCCCACGGCUGUUGUUUCCUCCCCUGAUCCUGGAGUCACCAUCAUAAAUGGGACAGAUGCUGUGAGGAGCUCCAUAUCCACUGUAAUUGUUCCCAUGGUCUAUGGACUCCUCAGCAAGACCCUGGUCUUCACUGUCUUAUUCAUUGUCACACAGAGGUCAUUUAGAUGACAACUCUUUUCAAUGCUACACAAUAGUGACCUUCAGCCAUGUCUGUCUCACUGGAGAAGCAGAGAACCCAUUGACUGACUGAGCUUGGUCACCACUCUGCUCCUUUCAUCCAUCAUCUUAGGGAUGUGCUGUCCACCCUCAGAAGAGAGGAAACACUUCCCAGCACACCCUGGCCAUUCCCCCUAAACAGGGAGGCUUGUCUGAAAUAAACACAGAGCCCAGCAUUUCUCCUGUCUCCUUUUGUUGGAGUCAUGAAGGUUACAGGUCACCACAGAUAUCCCCACCCCUCAUCCUUCCCUUGGAUGGUUCAGUCCUAGUUAUCUGGGCCGUGCUCUGCUCAUAAAGCAUCCUGCCCUCCUGCCGCUGAGGCCUUCCUGUCUGGGAGUCAGACACUCAGAUACCUGCCUUCAUCUGUGGUCCUCUGAACACCCCAACCAUGGACCAAAAGACAAGAUCCCAUCUUGACACUAAUGCAACUGGGAGAGAGAAAUCUAGUUAAGCUGAAUGCUGUUGCCUGGGAAACACCUGGAAGAGUCUGGCAUCUGUAGGAUUGGAUGAGUACAUGGCAUCCACAUACUGUGUGAGUUUUAUUAUUGACUGCUCAGUGCAUGAGGGUCAAGGUAUCCAUGACCAGAGUGAGGCCACAGGAGCAGCAGGCCAUCACCUCCUAGCAGGAAUGAAAUGUAGAGAGUCCCUCUGCUCAAGGGCUCCAGGGGCAGAAAGAUGGAGAGCCAGGCUCUGCUGCUAGCUGAAUGCCUUCUUGCCUGGACUGAGACAGGGGCCAGCAUGGCAGGGGGACAGGAUCCUAUCUAAGACUGCCCUGUGUGCCUCUACCUCCCACUUACCUCCCUUUACCUCUCAGUCUCAGCCCGAGUACCCUAUGGCUUCAGUGCUUUCUCUGGGACAAAUUGGCAUUUUCUUGUUUCCACCUCUUUGGGAUCUACAGAAAAAGUGACCCCAUGGGUGGAAAAAGAAUGAUACAUUAGUUCCUUCAACAGUGCCUGGAGCCAACUUCAUCCCAAGGUUCCCAAGAGCAAACAUAUCACCACAGUGUAUCCAGCUCACUUGGUGUCACCCAGAAGGCUGAGCAGUGGCUGGACCACUCAUCUCAGAUCAGGAAAGCACAUUCCUGUCAGGGAGACUUUCCCCUCCUCCUGUGAAGAUCCCAGGUCUUAAGGCAUGCUUCUGUCACAUAAGGACGGUUCUCUGUUAAUGUGGUUCUCUAUGUAACUCCACCCUGGGGUGGUAUUGCUGAGCACAGGGUAUUCACAGCCCUACAACAUCUAGUGUGUUGGGAGAGGCCUCAUGGAAGCCACUUGAAGUUGGUGCUCUGGGUGUGUCUUUGGAGAAGUGAUGUAGACACUGAUCACCUCAGUAUGACUGUAUGAUUUUUUUCUUCCUGUCUAAAGAACAAGGCUGUUACUUCCUGAGCUUUUCCGCCCAUGACUUCUCUGUUCCCUGCAGUACUGACUCUGAGACAUCUUGUUUAUUAAUAAAUGCCCAGGCCAUAAACUUCUGCUUCUUCUCUACCUAGCUCUGAACUUAUUAAUCCCUUUUAUUCUAACCUCAGUUCAUGCACAU